UUUUAAAAAAUCUCCUUAGCC
ensembl:piRNA 21ur-6820 ncRNA